ensembl:misc_RNA 7SK 7SK RNA
GGAUGUAAGGGCAGUUUGGUUGUGACAUAUGUCCCCUUGGUAGUCUCCAAGGUGGACUUUGCUGAUCUGACUAGCUAGGCAGCGUCCCCUUUCCUCCCUCCAGAUUUCCAUGUCAGACCUCCUGAAGCUGUACUCUCCCAGGGUAGAAGAGGAAGACCAUCCCCAAGAGAGAAGGACAAAAGUAUAGAAGAGCAGUAUUCCCUGCUAGAACCUCCAAAAAAGCUCUCAAGAAAGGCACUCUAAACAUCGGACAUGGCAGCACACACCUGUAAUCUCAGCACUCAGGAGGCUGAGGCAGGAGGAUCUCUGCUGAGUUU